GGGCCCGUAGCUCAGUCUGGUAGAGCAGCCGGCUCUUAACCGGCAGGUCGCGGGUUCAAAUCCCGUCGGGCCCACCA
rnacentral:tRNA from 1 species